GUGACCGAACACUGGAACAGAGACCAGAGAGGGUGUGGAGCCUCCCGCACCGGGGAUAUUCCAGAGCUGUCUGGACACAAUCCUGUGCCGUGUGCGCUGGGACAAGGAAAUACGAAAUCAACCCAAGCUAAUAAACCCUAAUAAAGCCUACUGGGACGCUUCAUAAGCACUUUGAAUCCACAAAAUGCCUCUGUUCUUCAUCCACUGGCAAAAUGCGUCAGUCAAUUACCUCCCAAACCCGCAUUUGCUGAAGGUGGAUGUCUGACCCAGCAUGUGGAUGGUGUUUUCAGCCAUUCAGGAAGCAGGGCUGCAGUUCCCAUAUGGAAGAAUAAAGGCAAGAUGUCGGUGCCUUAAGAGAAAUUAUUUGGAUGCUGAUAGAACAAGCUUUGUUAUGUGGGGUUGUGUGUGUGUCCUGCACAGUAUCUGCAAACAGGAAAGCUGGGAAUGUUUUAGUGCAUACAGGCAAGUCUACAAUCAAAAUACUACCCCAAUGGGUAGUUUUAUACCAC